UACGGGGGGAGCAAGCGUUGUUCGGAUUUACUGGGCGUAAAGGGCGGGUAGGCGGCCACCGCAAGUCAGUUGUGAAAUCUCCGGGCUUAACCCGGAAAGGUCAACUGAUACUGCGGGGCUAGAGUGCAGAAGGGGUAACUGGAAUUCUCGGUGUAGCGGUGAAAUGCGUAGAUAUCGAGAGGAACACCUGCGGCGAAGGCGGGUUGCUGGGCUGACACUGACGCUGAACUGCGAAAGCUAGGGGAGCGAACGGG
rnacentral:rRNA from 1 species